rnacentral:rRNA from 1 species
GAUGAACGCUGACAGAAUGCUUAACACAUGCAAGUCUACUUGAAUUUGGGUUUUUAACUUAGGUUUGGGUGGCGGACGGGUGAGUAACGCGUAAAGAACUUGCCUCACAGCUAGGGACAACAUUUGGAAACGAAUGCUAAUACCUAAUAUUAUGAUAAUAGGGCAUCCUAUAAUUAUGAAAGCUAUAAGCGCUGUGAGAGAGCUUUGCGUCCCAUUAGCUAGUUGGAGAGGUAACGGCUCACCAAGGCGAUGAUGGGUAGCCGGCCUGAGAGGGUGAUCGGCCACAAGGGGACUGAGACACGGCCCUUACUCCUACGGGAGGCAGCAGUGGGGAAUAUUGGACAAUGGACCAAGAGUCUGAUCCAGCAAUUCUGUGUGCACGAUGAAGUUUUUCGGAAUGUAAAGUGCUUUCAGUUGGGAAGAAAAAAAUGACGGUACCAACAGAAGAAGUGACGGCUAAAUACGUGCCAGCAGCCGCGGUAAUACGUAUGUCACGAGCGUUAUCCGGAUUUAUUGGGCGUAAAGCGCGUCUAGGUGGUUAUAUAAGUCUGAUGUGAAAAUGCAGGGCUCAACUCUGUAUUGCGUUGGAAACUGUAUAACUAGAGUACUGGAGAGGUAAGCGGAACUACAAGUGUAGAGGUGAAAUUCGUAGAUAUUUGUAGGAAUGCCGAUGGGGAAGCCAGCUUACUGGACAGAUACUGACGCUGAAGCGCGAAAGCGUGGGUAGCAAACAGG